rnacentral:rRNA from 1 species
GGUCGAAAGAGGAAAUUCAUUCGCGUUUCGAUCGUCGAAGUUGAACGUUGGUAUGACGGAUGACCUGUGUUUCGGCGCAUGAGUCCGCAUCUAAUGUUCAUCGAGUCGAUGUCGAACGCGUGCACUUUUCCUCUAGUAGGACGUCGUGAUCCGUUGGGUGUCUGUCUAAGACUCGGGGUGGAGACCACGUGAUUAUCUGAUUAUGUGGACCCUCGAUGUUCCGACAGACUCGCUCGACGGUAUAAAUAUGGCGCGGGGCCGCUACUUAAGUUAGCGUUCGGCCCGUAGCAAGCACGUUCCGUGUUCGAUGGCGAUCGGACCUAGUGCCGAUUCUGUCCCGGAACGACUGUUGGUUACGGUGUUCUCGAACAGACCUCGU